AAUGGUGUAUUUUAAGAAAAAUGUCACUCUGCAAAGGUGAAGUUGCUUUUUAGCUACCAUUU
rnacentral:tRNA from 1 species